rnacentral:rRNA from 1 species
GACGAACGCUGGCGGCGUGCUUAACACAUGCAAGUCGAACGGAAAGGCCCUGCUUUUGUGGGGUGCUCGAGUGGCGAACGGGUGAGUAACACGUGAGUAACCUGCCCUUGACUUUGGGAUAACUUCAGGAAACUGGGGCUAAUACCGGAUAGGAGCUCCUGCUGCAUGGUGGGGGUUGGAGAGUUUCGGCGGUUGGGGAUGGACUCGCGGCUUAUCAGCUUGUUGGUGGGGUAGUGGCUUACCAAGGCUUUGACGGGUAGCCGGCCUGAGAGGGUGACCGGCCACAUUGGGACUGAGAUACGGCCCAGACUCCUACGGGAGGCAGCAGUGGGGAAUAUUGCACAAUGGGCGGAAGCCUGAUGCAGCAACGCCGCGUGCGGGAUGACGGCCUUCGGGUUGUAAACCGCUUUCGCCUGUGACGAAGCGCGAGUGACGGUAAUGGGUAAAGAAGCACCGGCUAACUACGUG